ensembl:lncRNA
CGGAGGAGUUAUGUGACAUAUGCAGUUAUUGAAAAUAUGUGGUAAUAUCUGGUCAAUCCAAACUGAUUGAUCCAUGACUACAACAAUGGAGGCGCCAAGUGGAAAAGGGAGAAAGUAAGGGAACUUCUUUGUCUGCCAUAUAUUAAAGAUACGAAUUGGCUGAAAGGAACUGGGAUUAAAUAAUUACAUUUUUGUCCUCAGUUUCAUCUGAGGACAAAAAGGUUGCCAGCUGCGCCGUGCAGGUUGCAAAGUAAAUGGGAGGAGAUGUUCAAUAUACCGAUUCUAUGGUGAUAGGUGGGAUGGGCUGAGAGGGUGGUCUAUGGUGAUAGGUGGGAUGGGCUGAGAGGGUGGUCUAUGGUGAUAGGUGGGAUGGGCUGAGGGGGUGGUCUAUGGUGAUAGGUGGGAUGGGCUGAGAGGGUGGUCUAUGGUGAUAGGUGGGAUGGGCUGAGAGGGUGGUCUAUGGUGAUAGGUGGGAUGGGCUGAGAGGGUGGUCUAU